CAUUCUCAGGGUCAGGGCCCAAAAAAACAACUCGGUCAGUUUCUGAGCAGAACCUUCCCAGCCAAAGGGGCCAUGGAGCAGAUCUUGGGAAGUGGAGGGCAGGACGGGAGAGGGCAGCCUUAGGGGUUCACCUGCCCCAUCAGGUGCCAGGAUGGUGGCCAGAACAUGACCUGGGGAUACAAUUCCCACUUAUCAUCUCCAGUUCACCGUGGGAUCAGCUCCAUGCCUAAUGGAACCCUUCCAAAAUCUGGAGCCACGUGGCUGUCUCAGAACCCUAUCCUGAUCCAGAAGCUCAGUGCAAUGCCAUGCCUUUCUCUUAGCAUCAGUCGAUGCAGAUCCUUGGAUUCCAGCAGCACUUAUUAAAAUCCCAACCAUUGUC